rnacentral:lncRNA from 1 species
AGAGAACACCAGUCUCUAGUGAAUCGCAACAUCCGAGCACCACAGCCCUCACACUCCUCAGUAGACGUCGUAGUAGUUAUCUCCAAUUGUAAUAAAGCCUUUGAGGCAUUGUAUCUCCCCGUGGUGGAGGUAGGCAUAAGGUAGUCUUUUUACCUCUUUGUAAUCCCUUCGAGGUCUCCCGAAAGGGAAACUCGUAUGUAAAUUAUGUUGUUGAAAUGAAGUAGUUUCGUGUUUCAUUUGGUCUAUCUGUUAUGAAUUUAUGAGAUGAGUCUUACGCUAGGGAUCCUAUAGGAGAAACCUGAUACGUCUCCAACGUCUUUAUAAUUUUUGAUUGUUCCAUGCAAUUAUAUUAUCUGUUUUGGAUGUUUCAUAUGCAUCAAUAUGAUAUUUUAUAUUAUUUUUGGGACUAACUUAUUAACCUAGAGCUCAGUGCCAGUUUCUUUUUUUCUUCUUGUUUUUCAGUUUCGCAGAAAAAGAAUAUCAAACGGAUUCCAAACGGAAUGAAACUUCACGAUGAUUUUUCUUGGACCAGAAGACACCCAGGGGACAUGGAGUCCAAGCCAGAAGAGCCACGAGGCGGCCGCAAGGGUGAAGGUGAUACGUCUCCAACGUAUCUAUAAUUUUUGAUUGUUCCAUGCUAUUAUAUUAUCUGUUUUGGAUGUUUUAUAUGCACUAAUAUGCUAUUUUAUAUGAUUUUUGGGACUAACCUAUUAACCUAGAGCCCAGUGCUAGUUUCUGUUUUUUUCCUUGUUUUAGAGUUUCGCAGAAAAGGAAUACCAAACGGAGUCCAAACGGAAUAAAACUUUCGCGAUGAUUUUUCUUGGACCAGAAGACACCCAUGAGACUUGGAGUGCAAGUCAGAGGAGCCUCGAGGCGGCCACAAGGGUGGAGGGCGCGCCCAGGGGGUGGGAGGCGCCCCCAACCUUGUGGGCCCCUCGUAGCUCCUCUGACAUAAUUCUUCCUCCUAUAUAUACUCUUAUACCCCAAAAACAUCCAGGGGAGCCACGAAACCACUUUUCCACCAUCGCAAUCUUCUAUACCCGUGAGAUCCCAUCUUGGGGCCUUUUCCGGCAUCCUACCAGAGGGGGAAUCAAUCACGGAGGGCUUCUACAUUAGCACAUUGCCUCUCCUAUGAAGCGUGAGUAGUUUACUUCAGACCUACGGGUCCAUAGCUAGUAGCUAGAUGGCUUCUUCUCUCUCUUUGAUUCUCAAUAAAAAAGUUCUCCUCGAUGUUCUUGGAGAUCUAUUCGAUGUAAUACUCUUUUGCGGUGUGUUUGCCGAGAUCCGAUGAAUUGUGGAUUUAUGAUCAGCUUAUAUAUGAAUAUUAUUUGAAUCUCCUCUGAAUUCUUAUAUGCAUGAUUUGAUAUCUUUGCAAGUCUCUUCGGACGAUCGAUUUGGUUUGGCCAACUAGAUUGGUUUUUCUUGCAAUGGGAGAAGUGCUUAGCUUUGGGUUCAAUCUUGCGGUGCUCGAUCUUAGUGACAGAAGGGGAACCGACACGUAUUGUAUUGAUCAUGGAUAACAAGAUGGGGUUUUCAUCAUAUUGCUUGAGUUAAUCCCGCUACAUCAUGUCAUCUUGCUUAAUGCGUUACUCUGUUCUUAUGAACUUAAUACUGUAGAUGCAGGCAGGAGUCGGUCGAUGUGUGGAGUAAUAGUAGUAGAUGUAGGCAGGAGUCGAUCUACCUGAUACGAACGUGAUGCCUAUAUUCAUGAUCAUUGCCUUAGAUAUCGUCAUAACUUUGCGUUUUUCUAUCAAUUGCUCGGCAGUAAUUUGUUCACCCACCAUAAUAAUUUCUAUCUUGAGAGAAGCCUCGAAUGAAACCUAUGGCCCCGAGUCUAUUUUACAUCAUAUAAGUUUCCGAUCUACAAUUCUAGUUUCCUAUUUACUUUCUUUUGCAAUUUUACUUUCUGUUCCAUAAACCAAAAAUACCAAAAAUACUACUUUACCGUUUAUCCAUCUCUAUCAGAUCUCACUUUGCGAAUAACCAUGAAGGGAUUGACAACCCCUUUUUCGUGUCGGUUGCAAGUUGGUGUUUGUUUGUGCAGGUAUUCGGUGGCUUGUUGCGUAGUCUCCCACUAGUGCAGAACCGGGCUACAGCACCGGUUUGUAAGGGCCUUUAGUGCCGGUUCUGCAACCAGCACUAAAGGGUGGGGACUAAAGGUCCCCCCCUUAGUACCGGUUAUGCACGAACGGCCGCUAAAGUGCCACCACGUGGCACGAGCCGGCGCCGGGGACGGGGAGACCUUUAGUAGCGGUUGGCAACAUCAACCGGUACUAAAAGGUUAGGGGGGUUUUGGGUUCAGGGUUUCUUUUUCCUUUAAUUUUGUGUUUUCCAUUUAAUUCUUUUUCGUUUGCUGGUAUACGAUACUACAUAUUGUACACAUUAUGCAUAUAUAUAUAAAAAUAGAAUUUCUUGUAGAACCGAUUAUAUAUAUAUAUAUACAUACACACAUAUUCACACACACACACACACACACACACACACAUAUAUAUAUAUAUAUAUCAUUGAAUGUCUCGCACCACCAUAUUCACACAUACACAUGUAUGUAUAUAUAUACAAUUUGAUAUAUACAAUUUCUCCUACAUGGAGGCAUUACUGCGGUAGCGGGUAAUGGAAUUCUCCUCUAGGAUCUAUGACCUGGUCGAGCAAAAAUCCCGCUAUUUCCUCUGCAAUUGCUCGUACGCGAUCCAUUGGUAGGAGCUUCUGCCGCACCUCAUUGAACUAUUAAUUAAGAAGGAGAUCAAUAUGCAUGUAUUAGUUGUGUGACUAGAUAUCGAUAAUGAUGUAAAAAUUGUGUAUAGUGUUCUGGCAAACGUACCCAUGGCUGUCUAUCAGAUGUGCUCCUUUCGGACGUCAUCAUGCGAAUGUUCUCGCAAUCGUAGUAUGCACAUAAAUCAUUCCCCGGCUCCUGCUUCAUGGCCUGUACGAGAAUAGAGUUCAAUCAGAUAAUAAUUAAUCAAGCAUGAUAAUUAAUGGUAUUGAAACUAGAAUUAAAGAGAUUGCAUGGUAGCUAGCUACUACUACUUAAUUAAUUACCGUGGGUCGAUACCAAUACAGAUUUUCUCUGAACGGGCCUGGAACGUCUUUGAUGAACUUUUGCCAAGCCCUGCCGGCCCGCUGGCAAAGAAAAUGAAUAAAGGAGUUAUUCAUUAGUUGAUAUCAGGACAUAUAUAUAAUGAUUGAAAUUACCUGUUGACUAUCCCCUUCACGAUUGAGUACUCUUUAGGUUUUUUAAGCAGUGAUUCCAGUACUUCAACUUUUCCUUCUUUAACUUUAAUGUCUACCAAGAUCCAGUGGUACCUGCAUGCGCACGUUUGCAUGUAUAAAUUAAGCGGGCAUGUGCAUAACACUCAUCAACUAACCCUAAACCCUAUACACUUAUUAACAUCUAGCUAGUAACAAAAACAGAAUUUGUAGUACAAGACAGUGUGACUCACUGGAAGUUGUAAGGAAGUAGUAUAUCUGCAUUGGUAUUGAGGCGCUUCAAGAACUCUAGCAUGUUAUUCUCUACUUCUUGUUUAUAAUAUUCAUAUGAUCAUGUCUCUUCAUUAAUUGUAUUUGGGUCAAUGAACCCAAUGCCAUAGCGUUCAGAUUUUCUCAUUUCGGACAUGUUCAUCCUGCAUAAUACCACAGAAAAGAAUAUAGUGAGGAUAAUUACAGGUAAUGAUCAACGAGAGCACUACAGCUAGCUUGAGACUUAAAUUACAGAAAGAAAUCACUUACAGACAAUAGCAACUGACGAUAGAUUUGUCGAGUGCGUCAUAAUUGGAUAACUGAAACAGUUCUAUAUACUCAAUAGAUAGAGCUAGCUUAUGGAAGUAAUCCUCUUCCUUGACUUUCACCAUGAGGGACUCUAGAUUGUGGGUAUUGCAAAUUUCCAUGUACCAUUGAUGCAAUUCAUACAUUCUCGUUGGGAGGUUCUUGACCUCCUCGGGCUCGACCAAAGGUUCGCCGCGGACAUAUUUCCGUUUUAUUUCCUCCUCUCUAAGCGGAGACAUGGGCUCGAUCUCAAGGAGUUGUCCAACAGUCAUACCGAGCAUUUCAGCCUGCAUUAUAUGCUCCUCGGUUAUUACCAGAUUGCCCAGCUGGGGAACGGUUUGCCCACAUACAUAUAUGGCACCGGUACUCUUAUGUGUUGUUGGGACAACAAGCGGGGGGAUCGAUUGCGCCGCCUGUUCUCCCAGCUGGGGAACGGUUUUCCUGCAUUUUUUGCCAGCUGCUUGGCUCGAGCUCGAGCUCGACUCCUUCUGUACUCGUGCUCGAUGUGCCUUCCUGAUUUGGUGCUCAUAGUCUGAGUCAAUAGGCUUGGGAGCUGGUGGUCUAGCCAUACGAAUAAAGUGGUCAAUCUUUUCCUCAGGCACUUUCUCCCUUGGCGGCGGUGCCGGUUUCGGUCCAAAAUGGGCGUCC